UACAGAGGUCUCAACCGUUGUUCGGAUUCAUUGGGCGUAAAGGGUGCGUAGGCGGUCGUGCAAGUCGGAUGUGAAAUCUCAGGGCUCAACCCUGAAACUGCAUUCGAUACUGCGCGGCUAGAGUGCUGGAGGGGAGACUGGAAUUUACGGUGUAGCAGUGAAAUGCGUAGAUAUCGGGAGGAACACCGGUGGCGAAGGCGGCGACCUGGGUCGAGACUGACGCUGAGGCGCGAAAGCGUGGGGAGCAAACAGG
rnacentral:rRNA from 1 species